rnacentral:rRNA from 1 species
AGAGAAUAUUGGACAAUGGGGGCAACCCUGAUCCAGCCAUGCCGCGUAUGUGAAGAAGGCCUUCGGGUUGUAAAGCACUUUAAGCGGGGAGAAAGGCCUGAUGGCUAAUAUCCAUCGAGAUUGACGUUACCCGCAGAAUAAGCACCGGCAAACUUCGUGCCAGCAGCCGCGGUAAUACGAAGGGUGCAAGCGUUAAUCGGAAUUACUGGGCAUAAAGCGCGCGUAGGUGGUUAAGUAAGCGAUCUGUGAAAGCCCCGAGCUUAACCUGGGAACUGCAGGUCGAACUGCUUGGCUAGAGUAUGGUAGAAGGGUGUGGAAUUUCCUGUGUAGCGGUGAAAUGCGUAGAUAUAGGAAGGAACAUCAGUGGCGAAGGCGACACCCUGGACCGAUACUGACACUGAGGCGCGAAAGCGUGGGUAGCGAAC